AGUGAGCCCUUUCAUUUGAAGAGCCAAUUGACUUUAUCUGUCCUUCCUUCCAGCUCCCAGCCUGGGGCCUCUGCCCUGAUGCCACUACACAAUGGCCCCGCUACUCCCCACAGGUGGAAAGUUCUUCUUGAAAGCCUCCAGCAGCCUCGCUGCCUUGACUGCUCCAUAAAGCACUGGCAUGCUCUGGUCACUCUGCCCUGAGAGUUUAAUGUGAAUACUAAAGAACACUGACAGGUCCCCAUACAUCAGCUAAUUCGAGGAGCAUCUUCCUAAGGCAUUGAAAACUUCAUUAUCAUACAAAUAUGUCUCUGGCAUGGCAUUUUCCCCUGGACCACAGAAUGCAGCUAACUGUGUAGCAGAAAUUUUAAUGAAUCGGUGUCUUUCCCACCUGAGUGCUUCUGUGGAAUGCGAGGACAAGUUGGCUCCCGAAACCAGGCAUCUUGGGUAGGAGUCAGCUGAUGGUUCUUUGGCCAGUGGGAUGUUGAAGGAGAUCUGGCAACGAGACAGGACAUCUUCCACCUUCUGCCUGGGAACACUGCCAGUUAAUGUUUCCACCCCACCUAUCACCUGCAUACUGUACAGAAUUCUCCUGCUGUCCUGCCGUUGGUAUGCACACCGCUGCAUGGGGCCUUCUUUGCUCCUGAACUAUCCUAAGGCUGAUCCAUCCCAAUCCCCCUUAUUUUGAAACAACAACCAAACAUAAUUGGACAGACAUAACUACUUGAUUUUCACCAAAUAAAACUGUCUUACCAACUGUUCUCAUCCUUGGGGAAAUUUAUUUUUAUAUCCCUAUCUUUGGCCCUAUGAUUCUCCCCUCUUUGACAACAGAGAGAGUAAUAAUAAAUGUAGUUUCAGACACUCACUUUUAACACAUCUAUAUUUUUAAAAUGUUUAUUUAUUUAUUUGAGGCAGAGAGAGCGAGUGAGCAAGGAACAGGCAGAGAAUGAGGGAGAGACAAAGAAUCCCAAGCAGUGCUCCAUGCUCAGUA